UGGGGAAUUUUGGACAAUGGGCGAAAGCCUGAUCCAGCAAUGCCGCGUGUGUGAAGAAGGCCUUCGGGUUGUAAAGCACUUUUGUCCGGAAAGAAAUCCUUGGCUCUAAUACAGUCGGGGGAUGACGGUACCGGAAGAAUAAGCACCGGCUAACUACGUGCCAGCAGCCGCGGUAAUACGUAGGGUGCAAGCGUUAAUCGGAAUUACUGGGCGUAAAGCGUGCGCAGGCGGUUUGCUAAGACCGAUGUGAAAUCCCCGGGCUCAACCUGGGAACUGCAUUGGUGACUGGCAGGCUAGAGUAUGGCAGAGGGGGGUAGAAUUCCACGUGUAGCAGUGAAAUGCGUAGAGAUGUGGAGGAAUACCGAUGGCGAAGGCAGCCCCCUGGGCCAAAUACUGACGCUCAUGCACGAAAGCGUGGGGAGCAAACAGGAUUAGAUACCCUGGUAGUCCACGCCCUAAAACGAUGUCAACUAGUUGUUGGGGAUUCAUUUCCUUAGUAACGUAGCUAACGCGUGAAGUUGACCGCCUGGGGAGUACGGUCGCAAGAUUAAAACUUAAAGGAAUUG
rnacentral:rRNA from 1 species